rnacentral:rRNA from 1 species
UGACGCUGGCGGCAGGCCUAACACAUGCAAGUCGGGCGGUAACAGGGAUAGCUUGCUAUCUGCUGACGAGCGGCGGACGGGUGAGUAAUGCAUAGGAAUCUGCCUGAUAGUGGGGGAUAGCCCAGAGAAAUUUGGAUUAAUACCGCAUACGCCCUACGGGGGAAAGCUGGGGACCUUCGGGCCUAGCGCUAUCAGAUGAGCCUAUGUCGGAUUAGCUUGUUGGUGAGGUAACGGCUCACCAAGGCGACGAUCCGUAGCUGGUCUGAGAGGAUGAUCAGCCACACUGGGACUGAGACACGGCCCAGACUCCUACGGGAGGCAGCAGUGGGGAAUAUUGGACAAUGGGCGCAAGCCUGAUCCAGCCAUGCCCCGUGUGUGAAGAAAGCCUUCNGGUUUGUAAAGCACUUUCAACGAAGAAGAAAAGGGUGUUGCUAAUAUCAGCGCCCUGUGACGUUACUCGCAGAAGAAGCACCGGCUAACUNCGUGCCAGCAGCCGCGGUAAU